rnacentral:rRNA from 1 species
UCGGGAAUUUUGGGCAAUGGGCGAAAGCCUGACCCAGCAACGCCGCGUGAAGGAUGAAGUAUUUCGGUAUGUAAACUUCGAAAGAAUAGGAAGAAUAAAUGACGGUACUAUUUAUAAGGUCCGGCUAACUACGUGCCAGCAGCCGCGGUAAUACGUAGGGACCAAGCGUUGUUCGGAUUUACUGGGCGUAAAGGGCGCGUAGGCGGCUUGACAAGUCACUUGUGAAAUCUCUGGGCUUAACCCAGAACGGCCAAGUGAAACUGUCAUGCUAGAGUGCAGAAGGGGCAAUCGGAAUUCUUGGUGUAGCGGUGAAAUGCGUAGAUAUCAAGAGGAACACCUGAGGUGAAGACGGGUUGCUGGGCUGACACUGACGCUGAGGCGCGAAAGCCAGGGGAGCAAACGGGAUUAGAUACCCCCGUAGUCCCUGAGCGGGCUGGCAAGGCGCAU